CCUACGGGUGGCUGCAGUGAGGAAUAUUGGUCAAUGGACGAGAGUCUGAACCAGCCAAGUAGCGUGAAGGAUGACUGCCCUAUGGGUUGUAAACUUCUUUUAUAGGGGAAUAAAACAGGGUAUGCAUACCCUCUUGUAUGUACCAUAUGAAUAAGGAUCGGCUAACGCCGUGCCAGCAGCCGCGGUAAUACGGAGGAUCCGAGCGUUCUCCGGAUUUAGUGGGUGUAAAGGGAGCGUAGGGGGCUUGUUAAGUCAGUUGUGAAAGUUUUCGGCUCAACCGUAAAAUUGCAGUUGAAACUGGCAGUCUUUCGUACAGUCGAGCUCGGCGGAAUUCGUGUUGUAGCGG
rnacentral:rRNA from 1 species